ensembl:lncRNA
CCACCUACUGUAGAGGUGCCAUUGUUGACUAAUUUUAUACUGAAUUAAGAUAUGUUUGGUUAAACUGAUUUUUCACUGUAUUCCCGUUGCAUGGCAUUUUUCCCUUGGUAGUAACUGAUGAACUAUACUCUGCUGCUUAUUUUCACACUGACAGUUUUUAAUCCAAGUAAAAGCUCUGGUAGACUUUUUCUUUCCUAGCACUGAGUAAGGACCACUGGUGAGGACUGCGUUAGAACUGCAGUUCAUACAGAUGGAUGUAAAUUAUAAUAGACUGCAAUGCUGAGAUCUAAUCGUAAGAUCUUCAUUAACCUGACUGUAAGAUCACAGCCAUGUAUUCUCCCAGGAAAAUGACCUUGUGGCCUCCACAGUACCAGCUUCCUAAAGCCACGCUCAAGUUACCGUGUUGCUGAGGUGGAGCACCCAUAGGAAGAUCUCUCAUCUGUAUGGAAAAGAAUGAGCACCACUUCAUAGAUCUGAGCAUACUAAAAAAAAAGAAAAAAGAAAAAGUAAACUUUCAAAUUUCAGCACAGUUAAAAAUUGCCUGCACCAUCCUUUUCUGUAGCUCUUUGCAAGGGCAACUGACUCUUUUCAGAUUCCAGAGCUGCAUUUUGGAAGAUGAAUUCCAAGUUUUCCUCCCACUCUUCUAUCUGAAAAACAACAACGACAACAAAAAACAUUCAUAAAGGCCAUGCUGGAAAAUAGAUGAAGAAUUGCAAUUUUUUCCCUAGAACAACUGAGCUCCUGCCCCAUAGUCAGUGGCUGCUGUGUAAUCACCCAUCAUUCCUCUUCCCUUCUCCUAAGGGAAUUGAUUACUCAGCAUAGACAACUUUGUAUUUUUGUUUUGUUUUGUUUUGGCAGCGGGGUAAGGAGAGUCAGAGUUGUCCCAAUUGCGUCAGCACUCUUUCCAAUGAAAGAAAGAAACACAUUGCAAGAAAAAGGAAAUUCUCAGCCAUCGUGAGCUUAAAGAAUAACUACCUGUUUGGUCACGCAGCUCCGUGCCAACCAAUGCUGUGAAUGUAGUCAUUGCCCCCAAAUUCCCAGCUAGGGAUGGAGAACAAAAAGCUGAAAGUCCAAUACUGCCUAUGUAAAAAGAAUACACAGUGGGACCUACGAGUUUAAGGAGGCUUCCACUGAAGAGUAAAAGAUAACUAGUGUAAAUGCUGAGUCAUGGCAUGAAGCAGUGAUGGAGCACCUGGUGGGAAGGCAGGGCCAACCCAGGGGAGCUCAGGUGUAUGCAAUGUACCUGAGAGACCAGAAGGGUUGAGCCAGGAUCCACUCCUUCCCAGACCUCAUUUACGGGUUGGCAGUGGAGGCAAGGGUAUUUUGCUGGAGAUUCCUGCCUACCUGAGACUUUCUGAAGGAGGCCAUGACACUGUAAGGCAUUGUUACCCCAACAGCAGAUGUGCAGUUCAUCUACAGCCUCUGAAGUUACUGCAGAUACGUGGGGAGGUGGGUCUAUUGUAGUUGUAUUUAGUUGCAAUUGUAUGCGCUUUUAUGUAGUAGCUCUCCUCCAUUCAGUGAACUAAGAGAUCAUAGAAUCACCAAGGUUGGGAAAGACCUACAAGAUCAUCCAGUCCAACCAUCUGCCUAUCACCAUUGACAUUCGUGAAGACAUUUUCUACAUGUGAUUUAUAGCUGCCCUCCACCUUUCGUCCCAUCGCUUUACCAGCCUUAUCAACUCUGGGAUUUGGUGGCAAGAAAGAAUUUGAAGAUUUAAGAUCCUCCAGAGCCCACAGUGUGGGAACUGUAUGAACACGACCUGCAGAGCAGAAAACUGCAACCAGAAACUCCCGACGCUGUCAUACUUUCCACCACAAAAUUAUCAGCUUUGAUUAUUUUAUAUCCUUUGAAUGACUCAGAAAUCUGGCAGUGUCCGAAGUGUGAGCUUUGCUCGUAUGUCUGCAGUGGGUGGAAGGGCAGAGUUUGAUGUUAAAGAGACAUCUAGUCCAGUAGGAAAAUUCUCUGGAAACAAAUUUAAGGAACUGGGAUGGAAGAAAGAGUCCAUCGUUACCAAGUUCUGAUCAGAGCUCCAAAGUCUCAGGACAGACAUAUAUAAAAGUUAGAAUUAAAACAUAUGUUAUCUAUUAAUAGAGGGAUACUUUAUGAUAAAAAACAAACGUGUGUGUUUUUACUCUUCUGUGCCAUAUACCAAAUAGGACACAUUACCCAACAAAACUGUCUGCUCUCCCUGUUAAAAUACGAAUUUCUAGCCGUAUCACUCAAGUUGUAAUGAAGGGAUUUAUCUGCUUAUUUUCAUGAGGAAAAAGGAUUUUUCCCCUGAUGCUGCCAGAUGUCCCAUGUGCUUCCAAACAAAAGAUUUAAUCCAGUUUCACACGUGAAAUGUACAUGCUCUACAUUCUGUGUGCUAUGUGUAAGACAUCUGGGUGCUAGCUGGUGGAUAUGUGAUGUAAGCUGCAGUUUCAAAGUAGUUAACAACUUCUAAACAACCUGGAAAACAACCUCCAGGCUUCUCGAACGAAACAAUUGUUUAAUUCUUUUUUUUUUUUCAUCAAAUAAUUUUGGCUUUAAUUCUUAUUUCUAAAGUGAUGAUUGCGGAGACAUAAAGCUGCUGGAAGUGGGAACCUGUAACACACAUUGCGAAAACACCAAUGGAAGUGGAAGGGUUGGGCUGCUAAACUUGUAACUGGAAAACCAAUCACAGCAGUGAAUCCAGUCUGAUUCUCUUACAAGGAGAAGACAAAUCAGGAGAUUUCCAGCAAGUCUCUGACUCUGGUGUAACAUUAGCUUUUUAGCUUCUUCCAAGCAAGUGAUUUUGGUCAAAAAGAGCAAUUUAGGAAAACCUGCACAGCUGGGUGUAUAGGAAGCUGUCCCCAGGGAGGACUUAACAAUCCCCAUAAAUAAGCAAGAUUUGAACACAUGUUGGCUGACAAGACAUACAUGUAUAAAGACAUUGAUAUGACUUCUGCAUACGGUACUAGAAAGAUGACUUUUAAAAUACACCCAGUUCUCAUGUCCAGUAUUCUCCUAGCAUUAAAAAUUUGGAGAGGUCUUGAAGUGGUCACAAAAUGUCUGCAGCCAAAAGUAGGGCUAAUGAGAACCCUUCAGCCUAGUUAACUUAUCCAAGAGAAGGCUGGGAACUUAAACGUCAGCUGCAAGUGUUUACAGAAAUCUUAAAAGAGAACAUUCGUUUUUGUUCUAAGUAAAAAGUAUAAUCUCUAAUCACAACAUAAUUUGCUUAGUAAUGCUCAUCUUAUUGCUUGGAAAGGGCUUCCUUCACAGAGAGAGGCCUUUGGUGAAGUUCUGCUAUAUUAAAUACAUGAGCUAGGCUACAUAUUCUACCAUAAGUUAUCAUGGCUCAUCAAAGUGGACAUCAUCAUGGAUACCAUCAUAGACACAGAAGAUGGCCAGAGAAGUUACUUCUAACUGAAGAUGUAAUUAAACCUUUGGAAUUGAAGCCUGCUUCCAGGCUGCUUGGGUCUGCACAAACCUGACACGCAAGCACACUACUGGUAAUCAUUCUUCCAACCAGUCAUUUACUGCAGAUUUUAAGGUAGUCAAGCUUCAGAGAAUGUGAAAAAUGUGCAAAAUGUGAACAGUGAUGUACAGCUACAGAAAGGACGACAUGCUUGAAAGAGUUGUCAUGACACUACAGACAGCAGACGGACUGACCACUGGCUCCCUGACCUUGUGAGGACUGGAAACCUUCCUGUCCAGUUCCAAACAGCACAAUGAUAGUAAGGACUGCACUUGUUUUGAAACAGACCAUCUGUCAUCUCAUCUCCUUUCCCAAAGUUACUGUAUCCUACAUCACAUGCUGAGUUUCAAUCGCUCAAGAUAUUCAGCUGAGAGAUACCAGCUUUUAUCAGUGCAUUUCAUUUUUCCUUUUCAUUACAACCAUGACAAAAUUGUUCUGUGUGUCUCAGAAGAAAUCCUAUCUAACAAAGAACAGAAUCUGCGUGUUGCUGUCAUUCAUGCAAGUUAGCUUAUCAUAGAAUGGCUUGGGUUGGAAGAGACCCCAAAGAUCACCACGUUCCAACCCCCUGCCACAGGCAGGGCUGCCAACCAUUAGAUCAAGCGCUAGACCAGGCUGCCCAGGGCUCCAUCCCACCUGGUUCCUGGGGCCACCAGGUCUUCUGCUCAUCUGCUCACAUUUUGGCUUCCCUGAAGCAGGAAUUCAAGGGAAGCUUGUGGAAUCAUCAUUCAUCAUUUUGUUUUGGGAUGAACAAUUGCUUCAUUGAGUUAAGUCCUAUUUGUACGCUGGAACCUGAAUAAAUUGGCAACCCCGACUGCACGAUGUGAGGAGAACAACACACUGGGAGAACAUCUGCUGUCCCAACAGUGACCUGGAAGGAAAUUUGACAGUGAGUACUGGGGAUCAGUAUGAGAAAAAUGCUGUGUUGGUGUCUGUUGUGCACUUCAGGGGACUAACGAAGUUAUCUGCCAUCUCUCUGCACAGCAGUCCUCACUCUUUCUUCUUUGUUUGCAAAUCCAGAUGUUGUUACACUGAGAGUUGGCCGGGCGGCUUCCAGUGACUGAAUAGUUGUUGUUGCCCCUCGUUCUGAAAGAUGGAAUUUGUUAAAACUGGGGGCUGCUGUAUUGGAGAUACUAGAAAAAGCUUUCAAGCCUCUAUGGUGGAAAGCUGGGAAUUCUGCGGCCCUUUGUGGCUGACAGUCUGAGAUCCAUGCAGGGCAAGAAAAGUAAACUAAAGCAACUUCAAUGAUUCUCUCAGAUUAGCGCAAGCUAAGAAGUCUCAGCCAUUAUCUGGAGGCUCACUGUGCUUUGAGGUACUGCAUGCAGAAUUAGAUUUAUAUUUGCUUAAAUGAACAGGGAGUCCCAUGGAGGGAUCAUAGAAUCAUGGAAUCACCAGGGUUGGAAAAGACCUCCAAGACCAUCCAGUCCAACCAUCCGUCUACCUCCAGUAUUGCCCACUAAACCAUGUCUGUCAGUACAACACUGAAACACUUCUUGAACACCUCCUGGGACGGCGACUCCACCACCUCCCUGGGCAGCCCAUUGCAGCACCUGACCACUCUCUCAGAGAAGAAUUUUUUCCUAAAGUGCAAUCUGAAUCUCUCCUGGCACAACUUGAGGCCAUUAAUGAUUCCGACCUGGUUAAAAUCAUUCCGUCCAGUUCAACCGUUGUGCAAUCAGCUUCAUUGUAAGAAGAAAGACAAAGAAGUUUAUGGAGUUAAUCAAAAAGUAUACAGAUUUAAUCAAAGUCUGGUGGCGACUGAUAAAUCAGCAACAUCCAGUAAGACGCUCUUCCCUAUUAAUAUGCAUGUGCAGGGACACGUAAUGGUUUAAAAGAUGUGAAAAUACAGCAGUGAAGAACCACAUAUAAAACAGACACAAUUUUUGAGCUCUGAGAGCUGCGCUGAAGCGUUGAUGAAAACGGUAUGUUAGGUAUGUAUCACGACAUAAGGAUGUUUAUGUUCUGGAGUGUUUUGUUUUCUUAACCUUUGAAGUUCAGCAGUUCGGGUGGCAAAGCCUUGGUUGCCACAAGGCCGUGGUUGAAAGGGAGUGUGAAAUGUAUUUUGAGAAUGACUCAAAGCCAAAAAGCAGACCAACAAAAAAGUACAUUCCAGGUUAAAAAAACACUGUGGAGUGACAACGAGGUGCUGUUUUAAGGAGUAUUCUGUGAUAUAAAACAAUAGAGAAAAUACCUUUUAAGAAGCACUCGAUCUAAAAUGUCGUUUCAAUGCUAAUUGAAAUUUAACAGUCUUUAACUAACAGGAAUCUGGGAUGAAACUUUGCCAGAAGACAGGAGCAAGGGAGACUGACAUUAUCAUCACAUGAACUUGUAGCCUGGACUCUGUGCCUUCUCCCCAUCACAAACAAUUAUAAUUCAUUUUUUAAUAUUUAAACAUGAUAAAUCAUUGAAUCAUAGAAUGGCCUGGGUUGAAAAGGACCACAAUGAUCAUCGACUUCCAACCCCCUGCUAUGUGCAGGGUCGCCAACCAGCAGACCAGGCUGCCCAGAGCCACAUCCAGCCUGGCCUCGAAUGCCUCCAGGGAUGGGGCAUCCAC